rnacentral:rRNA from 1 species
GACGAACGCUGGCGGCGUGCUUAACACAUGCAAGUCGAACGGAAAGGCCCUGCUUUUGUGGGGUGCUCAAGUGGCGAACGGGUGAGUAACACGUGAGUAACCUGCCCUUGACUUUGGGAUAACUUCAGGAAACUGGGGCUAAUACCGGAUAGGAGCUCCUGCUGCAUGGUGGGGGUUGGAAAGUUUCGGCGGUUGGGGAUGGACUCGCGGCUUAUCAGCUUGUUGGUGGGGUAGUGGCUUACCAAGGCUUUGACGGGUAGCCGGCCUGAGAGGGUGACCGGCCACAUUGGGACUGAGAUACGGCCCAGACUCCUACGGGAGGCAGCAGUGGGGAAUAUUGCACAAUGGGCGGAAGCCUGAUGCAGCAACGCCGCGUGCGGGAUGACGGCCUUCGGGUUGUAAACCGCUUUCGCCUGUGACGAAGCGUGAGUGACGGUAAUGGGUAAAGAAGCACCGGCUAGCUACGUG